rnacentral:rRNA from 1 species
AGAAUCAACGCUGGCGGCGUGCCUAACACAUGCAAGUCGAACGAGAAAGUGGAGCAAUCCAUGAGUAAAGUGGCGCACGGGUGAGUAACACGUGACUAACCUACCCUGGAGUGGGGGAUAACUGAGGGAAACCUUAGCUAAUACCGCAUAAUACCUACGGGUCAAAGGAGCAAUUCGCUCUAGGAGGGGGUCGCGGCAGAUUAGCUAGUUGGCGGGGUAAUGGCCCACCAAGGCAGUGAUCUGUA